rnacentral:rRNA from 1 species
UGGGGAAUAUUGCACAAUGGGCGAAAGCCUGAUCCAGCCAUGCCGCGUGUGUGAAGAAGGUCUUCGGAUUGUAAAGCACUUUAAGUUGGGAGGAAGGGUUGUAGAUUAAUACUCUGCAAUUUUGACGUUACCGACAGAAUAAGCACCGGCUAACUCUGUGCCAGCAGCCGCGGUAAUACAGAGGGUGCAAGCGUUAAUCGGAAUUACUGGGCGUAAAGCGCGCGUAGGUAGUUUGUUAAGUUGGAUGUGAAAGCCCCGGGCUCAACCUGGGAACUGCAUCCAAAACUGGCAAGCUAGAGUACGGUAGAGGGUGGUGGAAUUUCCUGUGUAGCGGUGAAAUGCGUAGAUAUAGGAAGGAACACCAGUGGCGAAGGCGACCACCUGGACUGAUACUGACACUGAGGUGCGAAAGCGUGGGGAGCAAACA